CUGGGCCCAAGAUUCCUGGCAUCCUUCCAAUCUCACCUCCCCCGCCCUAUUUACCCAGGAGCAAAAGAAGCGGAGGGAAGCAACACAGCGCAGCGUGACUACGUGCUUGAUCUGUCUCCUCCUAACGGGCAUGCAGGCAACCCAGGUGCCUUAGGUAAGUGACCCCAUUCCCUGCCCUGCCUUGGAGGGCCGGAUGAGUCAAAGAGUAAUCUUAUCCCUCUGCUAGUGAGUACAAAUGAAGUCUGUGGGCCAACAAGGAGCGAGGAGCAGUUUCCUGGAAGCCCUGGGCUGGUGUUUGACUUGCUUUGAGAUAGAAUAAAUGGGAGAAAGAGACUUUAUGGGACAUCUGGGCCUAGGGCUCCUGGAUGCUGUGCUGAAAACACCACGUACAGAAGCCAGUCUAACCUUCUGGAUGAUGAGAGCCCAGAUGCAGUACAGAGGUGCCCCAGCCAACAAUCAGCUGCUAUCUGAAUCCCAUCUGGAUCCCAUCUGAAUCCCAUGUCACCAUGAAUGAGGCCACCUUAGCCCAGCCAGCACAGCUGAAAGCCAGAAGCAGCCGCAUGCACAAGCCCAGGGGAAGCCCACAGAGGAACCACCAGCCAACACACAGAAUUGCAAGCAGUUAAGCAACUAAGAUUAAGACAACAAUUUUAAAAUGAACCAGGUCCGGCCGGGUGCGGUGGCUCUCAGGCCUGUAAUCCCAGCACUUUGGGAGGCCGAAGCGAGCGGGUCACCGGAGGUUGGGAGUUCGAGACCAGCCUGACCAACAUGGAGAAACCCCGUCUCUACUAAAAAUACAAAGUUAGCCAGGCGUGGUGGCGCAUGCCUGUAAUCCCAGCUACUCGGGAGGCUGAAGUAAGGUUAUAACAUGGCCUGGCGUGCAGUACGUG
rnacentral:lncRNA from 1 species